rnacentral:rRNA from 1 species
GAAUGCUGACAUAAGUAACGAUAAAGCGGGUGAAAAGCCCGCUCGCCGGAAGACCAAGGGUUCCUGUCCAACGUUAAUCGGGGCAGGGUGAGUCGACCCCUAAGGCGAGGCCGAAAGGCGUAGUCGAUGGGAAACAGGUUAAUAUUCCUGUACUUGGUGUUACUGCGAAGGGGGGACGGAGAAGGCUAUGUUAGCCGGGCGACGGUUGUCCCGGUUUAAGCAUGUAGGCGGAGGUUCCAGGUAAAUCCGGUACCUUUUAACGCUGAGGUGUGAUGACGAGGCACUACGGUGCUGAAGUAACAAAUGCCCUGCUUCCAGG